ACGCUGGCGGCGUGCCUAAUACAUGCAAGUCGAACGCACAGCGAAAGGUGCUUGCACCUUUCAAGUGAGUGGCGAACGGGUGAGUAACACGUGGAUAACCUACCUCAAGGUUGGGGAUAACAUUUGGAAACAGAUGCUAAUACCGAAUGAGACUUCUUGCUGCAUGACAGGAAGUUAAAAGGCGCUACGGCGUCGCCUAGAGAUGGAUCCGCGGUGCAUUAGUUAGUUGGUGGGGUAAAGGCCUACCAAGACAAUGAUGCAUAGCCGAGUUGAGAGACUGAUCGGCCACAUUGGGACUGAGACACGGCCCAAACUCCUACGGGAGGCUGCAGUAGGGAAUCUUCCACAAUGGGCGAAAGCCUGAUGGAGCAACGCCGCGUGUGUGAUGAAGGCUUUCGGGUCGUAAAGCACUGUUGUAUGGGAAGAACAGCUAGAGUAGGGAAUGACUUUAGUUUGACGGUACCAUACCAGAAAGGGACGGCUAAAUACGUGCCAGCAGCCGCGGUAAUACGUAUGUCCCGAGCGUUAUCCGGAUUUAUUGGGCGUAAAGCGAGCGCAGACGGUUGAUUAAGUCUGAUGUGAAAGCCCGGAGCUCAACUCCGGAAAGGCAUUGGAAACUGGUCAACUUGAGUGCAGUAGAGGUAAGUGGAACUCCAUGUGUA
rnacentral:rRNA from 1 species